rnacentral:antisense_RNA from 1 species
UUGAUUGGAGCUCUUCCAGGGCUUCCUUCCUGGGCCAUGGACCCCUCUGAGGCCAUUCGCCUCUGUUCCAGUUUGGCUCUCCUGGACCCCUCUGGAUGGCUAGGUUGUUCGUCCUCAGUCUGCAUUGAUUGGAGCUGGGACCGAAGCCCCCAUUCCAGAAACCGGACCAGGAGAUAGGCAAACAAGAAGAAGCCACCCAAUGUGAGAAAGAAAUAAGCAACGGGGGUGAUGUCCGUCUUUAUGCCCAGCAAAGCCAGCCCCAGUAGGAAGGAGGCGCAGCACAGGAGGAGAAGCGGCUUCUCCAGUCUCCCCAGUUCUUCAAUCUCAAAUCAAAUAAAUCAUCUGUAGAGUCCCCUCCAGUUCCGAAAUUCUCUCUAUGUCUCGGAGUGUGUGGAAUAGCCAGGAAACCAGCCCAGGAGCUUUGACUCCCAGCCAUUCUGCACCUUAAGCAAAAAGGAAGUUAGCCACACAUGGUGGCUCAUGACUGUAGUCUCAGCUACAUGGGAGGCAAGGCAAGAGGAUCUCUUGAGCCCAGGAGUUCGAGGCCAGCCUAGGCAAUGUAGUAAGACCCUGUUCUUAAAUUUUUUUAAAAAGCAA